rnacentral:rRNA from 1 species
GAUGAACGCUGGCGGCGUGCCUAAUACAUGCAAGUCGAGCGGACGGACGAGAAGCGUGCUUCUCUGAUGUUAGCGGCGGACGGGUGAGUAACACGUGGAUAACCUACCUAUAAGACGGGGAUAACUCCGGGAAACCGGAGCUAAUACCGGAUGAGAUUUUGAACCGGAGGGGGCAAGAGUGAAAGACGGUGUUGCGGUCACCGAUAGAUGGAUCCGCGCGGCAUGAGCUGGUUGGUAAGGGUACGGCUUACCAAGGCAACGAUGCAGAGCCGACCUGAGAGGGGGAUCGGCCACCCUGGAGCUUGGCCGCGGUCCCGGCGCCUGAGGGAGGCCCCAGUCGGGAAUGUUCCGCAAUGGUCGAAAGCCUUACGGAGCAACGGCGCGUGAGUUACGACGGCCCUCGGAUCGUGAUACUCUGUUACUAGUUGAAAACAUAUGUGUAAGGAACUGUGCACCUCUUGACGGUACCUAUACAGAAAGCCCCGGCUAACUACGUG